CCGAGCGCCGGCCCGGGCGCAGGGCGGCAUGUAGCUGCGGGCUCCCGCGCCCGUGCGACGGUGUCGGCCCGGGGCCCCGCCAUGGCAGGGAAGGACAGUGGCGACCUGAAGACGGUGAGGCUGUGGCGGGACGCCGCCCUGCGCGCCAGGAAGCUGCGGAGCAACCUGCGCCAGCUCACCCUCAGCGCGGCCGGGGGCUGCCCCGGGGCCGGAGCCGACCCACUUGAGUCCCCCGAUGCCCCCCAGCUCGUGCUGCCUGCCAACAUCGGGGACAUUGAGGUGCUGAACCUGGGGAACAACGGCCUGGAGGAGGUGCCCGACGGGCUGGGGUCGGCGCUGGGCAGCCUGCGCGUCCUGAUCCUGCGCAGGAACCGCUUCGCCCGGCUGCCCCCGGCGGUGGCCGAGCUCGGCCACCACCUCACCGAGCUGGACGUCAGCCACAACCGGCUGACCGCCCUGGGCGCGGAGGUGGUGAGUGCCCUGAGGGAGCUGCGCAAGCUCAACCUCAGCCACAACCAGCUGCCCGCCCUGCCGGCCCAGCUGGGCGCCCUCGCCCACCUGGAGGAGCUGGACGUCAGCUUCAACCGGCUGGCGCACCUGCCCGACUCCCUGUCCUGCCUCUCCCGCCUGCGCACCCUCGACGUGGACCACAACCAGCUCACCGCCUUCCCCCGGCAGCUGCUGCAGCUGGCGGCCCUGGAGGAGCUGGACGUGUCCAGUAACAGGCUGCGGGGCCUACCUGAGGAUAUCAGUGCCCUGCGUGCCCUCAAGAUCCUCUGGCUGAGCGGGGCCGAGCUUGGCACGCUGCCCGCCGGCUUCUGCGAGCUGGCCAGUUUGGAGAGCCUCAUGCUCGACAACAACGGGCUGCAGGCUCUGCCCGCCCAGUUCAGCCGCCUGCAGCGGCUCAAAAUGCUCAACCUCUCCUCCAACCUCUUUGAGGAGUUCCCCGCCGCGCUGCUUCCCCUGGCUGGCCUGGAGGAGCUCUACCUUAGUCGCAACCAGCUCACCUCGGUGCCAUCCCUUAUCGCGGGCCUGGGCCGGCUCCUCACCCUGUGGCUGGAUAACAACCGCAUCCGGUACCUGCCGGACUCCAUCGUGGAGCUGACCGGCCUGGAGGAGCUCGUGUUGCAAGGCAACCAGAUCGCCGUGCUGCCCGACAACUUCGGCCAGCUCUCCCGGGUGGGCCUGUGGAAGAUCAAGGACAACCCACUGAUCCAGCCCCCCUACGAGGUCUGUAUGAAGGGGAUCCCCUACAUCGCAGCCUACCAGAAGGAGCUGGCCCACUCCCAGCCGGCCGUGCAGCCCCGCCUCAAGCUGCUCCUGAUGGGCCACAAGUCUGCAGGAAAGACCUUGCUCCGCCACUGCCUCACUGAGGACAGAGUGGAGGGCAGCCAAGGCGCGGGGGACAAGGAGAAGAGCUACCCACCUUCACCUCCGCCCGUGAGCAAAGGCAUCGAGGUGACCAGCUGGACAGCCGAUGCCUCCCGGGGCCUGCGCUUCAUCGUGUACGACUUAGCUGGUGACGAAAGUUACGAGGUGAUCCAGCCCUUCUUCCUCUCCCCAGGGGCCCUGUAUGUGCUGGUGGUCAACUUGGCCACCUAUGAGCCACGCCGCUUUCCCAGCGCCGUGGGCUCCUUCUUGCGUCGGGUGGGGGCGCGGGUGCCCCACACCGUGGUGUGCAUCGUGGGCACGCACGCAGACCUGUGCGGGGAGCGAGAGCUGGAGGAGAAGUGUCUGGACAUCCACCGCCAGAUCGCCCUGCAGGAGAAGCACGACGCCGAGGGGCUGAGCCGCCUGGCCCGGGUGGUGGACGAGGCGCUGGCCCGGGACUUUGAGCUGCGCUCGGCCAGCCCCCACGCGGCCUACUACGGCGUCUCCGACAAGAACCUUCGGCGGCGCAAGGCCCAUUUUCAAUACCUGCUCAACCACCGGCUGCAGAUCCUCUCCCCGGUGUUGCCUGUUAGCUGCAGGGACCCCCGCCAGUUGCAGCGCCUACGGGACAAGCUGCUCUCGGUAGCCGAGCACCGAGAGAUCUUCCCCAACUUGCAUCGCGUACUGCCUCGAUCCUGGCAGGUGUUGGAAGAACUGCAUUUCCAGCCUCCUCAGGCACAGCGACUUUGGUUGAGCUGGUGGGACUCCGCGCGCCUGGGCCUGCAGGCGGGUCUGACCGAGGACCGACUGCAAAGCGCCCUUUCCUACCUGCACGAGAGCGGCAAGCUGCUCUAUUUUGAGGACAGCCCGGCCCUCAAGGAGCACGUCUUCCACAACCUCACCCGCCUCAUCGACAUCCUCAAUGUCUUUUUCCAGAGGGAUGCUUCCUUGCUGCUGCAUAAGCUGCUCCUAGGGACCAGUGGAGAGGGCGAGGGAGAGGGGGAAAGCUCGGCCAUCAUGGCGCUGUCCCCCCCUAGUCAGGACCUGCUCCGGGCCACCCAGCUCCAUCAUUAUGUGGAGGGCUUUCUGCUGCAUGGGCUCUUGCCAGCCCAUGUCAUUCGGUUGCUGCUUAAGCCUCAUGUCCAGGCCCAGCAGGACUUGCAGCUGCUCCUGGAACUGCUGGAAAAGAUGGGACUCUGUUACUGCCUCAAUAAACCCAAGGGCAAGCCUUUGAAUGGGUCCACCGCCUGGUACAAAUUCCCGUGCUAUGUGCAGAACGAGGUGCCCCAUGCAGAGGCCUGGAUUAACGGGACCAACCUGGCGGGACAGUCUUUUGUGGCUGAGCAGUUGCAGAUCGAAUACAGCUUUCCCUUUACCUUUCCGCCUGGGUUGUUUGCACGCUACAGUGUCCAGAUCAACAGCCACGUGGUGCACAGGUCGGAUGGUAAAUUUCAGAUCUUUGCUUACAGAGGGAAGGUUCCUGUGGUGGUGAGUUACAGACCUGCCAAGGGGGUCCUGCAGCCAGACACCCUGUCCAUUGCCAGCCAUGCUUCAUUACCAAAUAUAUGGACCGCGUGGCAAGCCAUAACCCCCUUGGUGGAGGAACUGAAUGUCCUGCUUCAGGAAUGGCCUGGACUGCACUACACUGUGCACAUUCUCUGUUCUAAGUGCCUUAAGAGAGGGUCGCCCAAUCCACACGCUUUCCCAGGGGAGUUGCUGAGUCAGCCCAGACCAGAAGGAGUGGCAGAGAUCAUUUGCCCCAAGAACGGCAGCGAGCGAGUGAAUGUUGCCUUGGUUUACCCACCUACGCCAACUGUGAUCAGCCCCUGUUCCAAGUAUCUUCAUACUUUCUUGGAAAAUUAAGUGGAAAAGAUAGUGCAUCUUUUCCCUAUGCCAUCAUUUUUACUGUACCCAAACUGUGACUUUAGGAGCACCAAUUUUUAAGGGAAGAAUGUUGGUGAAAAGCACAGAAACCAGUGACUUUGAUGGCUGUGGAAUUCCCGUGGAGAAAAGAGAGCAUCCGAACUGCCCUGGAUUAUCCUUUGUACCCGGCGACCCCUUCACCCUCGCCAGGGUGUUCCGUGACCUUGAGUGACAAAGCACUCAGGGCGCUUUCAGAGGUGGGGAGCGGGCGGCGGGGAGGAUGGGCGAGAGCCAUGGAGCAAAUGUUUUACAACCUGAACCUCAGAACUGUGAUCCUCCAAGGAGAGCGCUACUUGAAGAAAAGAAACAAACAAAAAAGUCGAAUGGCUUCUCAGGGAUUUUGUUUUCCGUGCACAUAUAAGCCAUAGUUGCAGGGCAGGUGGUAGUAUGUACAGCACCCAUUUCAGUUCUGUUCAAUGUGAAAGAGGGAUCGACUGACGUUCAUUGCUGUUCCGUAACUCGUGUAAAAUAUGUAUAUGUUUAUCUUUAUUUUUAUAAUAUGCAAAAUACAUUUAAAUUUAUACAGUUUGAAGCUUUUAGCGUUAGUUAACACUGGGUGCAAUAUUCUGCAUGAGAACUGUGCCAAGAUGGGGCUGAUUUCUUAUUUUAGCAUAAGCCUUUUUUUUUUCUUUAAUCCUCCUCAGAUUAAAAAAACAAAACUAUGGAUUAAGUGUUGGUUCAAAGAAAUUGCCAGUAAAAGUGUACAUUUCAGACAGUGUCCCCUUCCUUUUCAGUAAAGGUCCCUGCUUAUAAAUCGGGCAUAGUGGGGGGAUAGUCCCUUUCCUUCCCCAUAUAUCAUUAGUGUCAGCCAGAGGGGGAGACGCUCUUGGGGGCCAUCGGGGACAGAGAGUCCAUAAAAAACCUGUCUUUUAAUAGCUCAAGAUAAUCAGGAGUCAGUUCUGAAUCAAGCAAACAACUCUAAUAAGUACCUUCCUUUUCUAGAACAGUCUGUGAAAUUCAGCAGAGCACGUUGCAAGCCCUCCACCUCUGGCGGGCUUCCUAAUUAGAGAGAAUAAUCCCACAUCGGUUAAUUUAUAAGUCCUGAGCCUCUGAUUGGACAGUCUACUGCCCAGAACUAGUAUAAACCCUUGUUUUAAAAUCUCCAAGAGGUAAAACUUACAGCAACCUAAACAAAUGGCUUUCUUUUCUACUCCUCACUGGGGCCAAACAGCGUAUGCUGCAAUAGUAACACAUUCCCUGAAGAAUGUAAAGGACUCCAGUUACAUCUGCCUCCUCCGAGUGUUGAUUGAAAAUGUGUAAAACCAACUGAUUCUCUCCAGUGUCAGACAAGAAAAGUGAGUCAGCUGGUGUUACUCUUACGUGUUGACUCUUGGAAGGACACAGUAUACAAAGCCUCAACAUUUUUUUUAAAUAAAUAACAAAUCAAUUUCUGCGGAGUAUUUCGAGCCCCCAGAGUUAACUUCACUGACCCCGAACCCCCAGUUACACAGGUAGGCUUUCUUAGGAUCAUGAAAUCGAGUGGGAUCAGACUGUGUUUGCAUUUUUGAGUGCUUGAAUAGGACACCUCAAGUCUGAGCUUUCAUUUUCUUUAGAAACAGUCACAAGAUUCAUCUGGUUAAUCCCUUUGUCACAGUUCUCGGCUGUGCGCGUGUGCGAGAGUGUGUACAUGCAUGUGUCAUGUGUAUGCAAAACCAAAUGGUAACAUUUCAUUGCUUUUUGGACCACUGAAUUGUUGGGCACUAAGAGUUUCUAAAUUGGCUCCAGGCAAUUUCUAAACUGUCAAAUUUUAACCAACUUUAACCAGUCUUGAGAAAAGGACUCUUCAGUGUGUGACUUUGGGUGAACUCCCCAAGGGACCAUAUUAAAUGAAAAAAAAAAAUGUUCUUUUGGGUGACACACCGUGCACAGUGUUUGCUGUUACCAUGAGCAUAAAUGCCCACAUUCUUAAUAUCUAAUAUGAUUUGACAAGUGAUGUUUUGUGCAGUCCAUCUGAACCCUAGAGAAGCAGAAGAAACUUUGCUGUCACAGGUGUUUUAGCAAAAGGGUCCACAUAACAGAGAAUCAUGUGACCAAACGCAGCUCCAGAGAAGCUUCGAGAACUUACUUCAGGGUGGGAGGAGGGUUGGAGAUACAGAAAACAUUGUGCUCUACAGGAAUUUUCAGCCAUCUAUGCAGGAAAUUCCGUUUUCUCUUUCAACACCUGGGAAGACUCAGUGGCCAGCGAAGACUGACAGGCAAAUUCACUUAAGCACAAGAGAAAUUUUUUUCCACCCAAGAAGUCCCUUGCCUCUCAACCAAAUGCCCUCUCCAAAGUUUGUUAUGGUUUCUAUUCCUGCAACUUUGUGGUAUCAAAACCACUUCCUGGAAUUGUAAAAGUGUUGCCAGAAUAAAUGUUUUUCCCCUUCUAAGAAAAAAAAAAAAAAGACAGUGCUCAUAUUUGACACUUGUGCAUUCGACUCACUUUUGAAUGAAUAAAAAGGAAAGGGUUUGGUGUAAUUCUUGACGGGGUGUGUGUUGUUUUUCAGGCCAUGGGUUGUGAAUUGUAAUUGUGGUUUCUCAUUUCAUUGUCGUAACCGGGCAGAAAUUUAAAAGAAUAAAAUAAAAUUCAGUAAAAAUACAAAGAAGUGGU